UGGCGCCUUAGUGCGCCUUGAGCUUUUAAUAACUAUGUUACUACUGGAGCUCAUUGAGUCGUAUUUUGACCCAUAUAGUCUCCUGCCUCAUUCCAAUAGUGUAAUACUUAUUGGAGCUUCGUUGAACGCCAACCAACGUGUUCCUGCUAUCAGAUUGCACUUUAGACCACUCAUGCACUUCACAACAUCAGGUCGGGUAGACAUCGGGUCGGGUAGACCUAGCCAUGGCCUUGCUAUGGUCUGAUUGCAAGUUGAAACCACUAGCCUUAUUAAGGUAAGAGGCAAGGUGAGGCGCCAUAGUCUAAAUUGC
rnacentral:misc_RNA from 1 species